rnacentral:lncRNA from 1 species
AGUAGAAUGCUUGGGAAAUGGCCCCAGAGACAGACAGGGAGGGCCCUGGCUUGGCCUGCUUAACUGCUGACAGCCUAGCUCUUGGCACUGCCAGCUAACAGCCGAGAAUGGCAGAACAGCACUUAGUCUUAAAUUGUUCCAUGGCCCUUUGCCUUCCUUCCACAUGUCUCUCUUUUCCUGGCAUCCUUUUUUCCUGGACACCCAAAUGUGUCCUCAUCACUUGUCCUCCCCCAUUUUGAUGAAAGGAUCUAUUAAUGAAGACUUACAUUUUCUGCAAAGGAUCAGAAAAGAAACAAGUACGUUAAGAAGAAAAGUCACAGUGAUUGUAAGAAGCAAAUCUACCUCUCAUUACAGAAUAAUAUUCAACGUGAUUCUGCUUUGCAUGUGGGAGGAUUCAGAAGUGGGUGAUAAAGAGGCUGAGUAAAUAUUGUGAUUCCUAUUAAGGAGGACUGGGCCAGGAUAAUGGAUGACAAAUCCAAGCUUCUGUAUUUUGUCACAGGUCUGGAAAAGAGAAACGUGAAGAGUGAAGAUGGCAUUCACUGGUUCAUAAAUCAAAAGACUUCUGACAUGUGUAGUCUGUGAGGGAGCCAAACUGAUCUUCCAAAUUCUCAAAACAGAAGGACUAGGCACAUGGUCACAGGAAUGGAAAUGUUAAAUUUAGUGAAUGUGUUUUUGGAAAACAACCUCAAAAUCAAGAUGAAUACGAUCUUCAAAGAACUUGAGAGAACUUUCUGGAAGUUUUGCUUCUGUAUCUUUCACUCUGCACAUCAUUGUUUAACAAGCACAUUGUCACAUUUUUAAUAAUUAGUUAAGCAUGGAACAAGUCACUCACUAACAAAGGAAUAAAAGUACAAGCAAAAAGGAAUGCACAUUACUUGAGGACAGUGGAGGGGGAUAUUUUCCAGCUACUCCAGAUUUGAAGGGUCAUUAGUCACCUUGAUGACCCUUGCAUGAAAAUAAUGAGCACACAGGCAGUAAGGAGACAUUCUAAUAAAAAUUAGGUGACAAUAGAAGGUAAGAAUUGUUCAAGAUAUAACAAAAAUCCCAAGUGAAAGCCAUAUGGAAAGUUCCUAACACAGAGACAAGAAUCUCAAAAGAAGGUGACACAUGUCUUCCAUAAGAGGCCAUUUCCAGAAAUGACACAGAAAUUAUGAAUGCCUCAUUCUUAUUUGAAAGGCCUGAAAUGCUUAGAAGACUGGGCUUUGGGUACUGUAUAAAAGUUGAAACCUUUAACUGUUAGCCAUUUAACAAUUUAAUCUUGCUUUAUUUCUAUUUUAUUGAUUGAUUAAUUGAUUGAUAGCAAGUUUCUGUAAAUCUCUUUGUGUUCAGUGUAUUUCUUUUUCAAAUUCGUUCAAGGUUAAUGUUCUCUAGAAAGAUAGGAUGGUGAAACCAUGCUAUGGUAAAUGUCACAGCUAAGUCCCUUCUCUUUAAGGCUACUGUGUCUGUAAUAUCUCUGCUGAACCCUGGCAAUCUGUCUUGAACACUACAGGCUUAUUAAAGGAUUUCUAUGUUCUAGAUGUUUUUGGUUGUAUAGGGGAGGAGCAUGAAGAAGCAUUUCAACCACCUGUAGUAAGCUUUCCUGCUGACAUUACUCCCAUUAUAAAGAAAUUUAGAUAUAAAAAUUCAAGUUCCUAUUCUAUGUCCUCAGAGAGACAUGGAAGGCUAUUACAGUAGUGUCUACAAUAUCUGUAAAGGACAUUGUACCCAUUAAUUUUAUACCCGG